rfam:Gorilla gorilla gorilla genomic chromosome, chr1, whole genome shotgun sequence
GCUGGGCAUGGUAGUGUGUGCCUGUAGUCCCAGCUGCUCGGGAGGCUGAAACGGGAGGAUCGCUUGAGUCCAGGAGUUCGAGGCUGCAGUGAGCUAUGAUCGGGCCACUGCACUCCUCCUGCCUAGACGACAGAGUGAGACCCUGUUUUGU